GACGAACGCUGGCGGCGUGCUUAACACAUGCAAGCCGAACGGAAAGGCCCUGCUUUUGUGGGGUGCUCGAGUGGCGAACGGGUGAGUAACACGUGAGUAACCUGCCCUUGACUUUGGGAUAACUUCAGGAAACUGGGGCUAAUACCGGAUAGGAGCUCCUGCUGCGUGGGGGGGGUUGGAAAGUUUCGGCGGUGGGGGAUGGACUCGCGGCUUACCAGCUUGUUGGGGGGGUAGUGGCUUACCAGGGGUUUGACGGGUAGCCGGCCUGGGAGGGUGACCGGCGACCUUGGGCCUGCGGUAGGGAGCAGACUGCUACGGGAGGCAGUAGUGGGGAGUAUUGCACAGUGGGCGGAAGCGUGAUGUAGAAACGCUGCGUGCGGGAUGCCGGGCUUCGGGUUGAAAACCGAUUUGGACUGUGCCGAAGCGUGAGUGACGGUAAUGGGUAAAGAAGCAACGGCUAACUACGUG
rnacentral:rRNA from 1 species